UUCUGUGCUCGGCGUGCUUUGCUCGGGGAAGCUCAGGUGGCCGCCACAGCCUCUUGCCCUCUGACCUGCAGGUAUCAGGAGAUCCAUAGCUAAGCAGCCUGGACACCCGGGAAGCUGGGAAAUGAUAAUCUCACCUGAGAAGGAAUCCCAGAGAAGAAGGAAGAAGAGGAAGAAAUGGCUGGUUCUCAGGUGAAUGUGUCUGGGUUCAGGGGAUGUGUCUCCUCUUUUCUUCUGGGAUGUUAUGUGUUUAGAACUUGCAAACCUUUAUUUCUGUACUUCUGAUGUACCUGCCUAAUGUGUUUCUUCCCAACUACCUUCCCCCCUUCCCCCCUCCUUUCUUAUGAUUGAUAAGGAACUCUGUAAAAUCCUUCCUCCUGUGUACCAGAACCUUCUCUCCAUUCCCUCCUUCCAGGCUUCUUAUAUGUCAUGACCAAAUCUUACCAUUAAUGUAUGAUGGGCAGUAUUCAGAUGUUCUGUGACAUAUCAACAUGGGAAAGUGUGGAUCCCCAGGAUUAUCCGUGGGGAUGGGGCUGGGUCUUGGGAUGUCAGUGAAGAAGGGGAUCAUGUACCGUUUAGAUUUCAUCCACAUGCUCCAUCAUCUCUAUGCAGAACAGAAUUAAGAAAAGAGACAUUUAAA
rnacentral:lncRNA from 1 species